rnacentral:rRNA from 1 species
CUGACUAUACGUGAUGUCAUCUCUCUGAGCGGCAUGACAUAUAACGACGCGGGGUCGCUUAAACAUCGAGUCUCGGUGCAUUGGUCUCUUAGGUGAUUCCGAGCCUAAGAUUCCGAGGUUAUGUGUUGCGUCCCCGGACAAGAUUUUUGUCUUGGUUGGUUCGUGCACAUAGCUUCCGGAUUUCACCAAACCCCGGCACGAAAAGUGUCAAGGAACAUGCAAUUAAACAGCCUGCGUUCGCCAACCCGGAGACGGUGUUUGUGCGGAAGUUGUGCUGCAAUUUAAAGUCUAAAACGACUCUCGGCAACGGAUAUCUCGGCUCUCGCAUCGAUGAAGAACGUAGCGAAAUGCGAUACUUGGUGUGAAUUGCAGAAUCCCGUGAACCAUCGAGUCUUUGAACGCAAGUUGCGCCCCAAGCCUUCUGGCCGAGGGCACGUCUGCCUGGGUGUCACAAAUCGUCGUCCCCCCAUCCUCUCGAGGAUAAGGGACGGAAGCUGGUCUCCCGUGUGUUACCGCACGCGGUUGGGCCAAAUCCGAGCAAGGGACGCCUGGAGUGUCUCGACAUGCGGGUGGGUGAUUCAAAACUCGUCAUACUGUCGAUCAUUUCCGUUCAAAGCUCUCGAUGACCAAGUCCCUCGACGCGACCCAGUCAGGCCGGAUCACCCGCUGAGUUAGCAAUUCAUCGUCGGGAGGA